UACAGAGGGUGCAAGCGUUGUUCGGAAUUAUUGGGCGUAAAGGGCGCGUAGGCGGUGCGGUAAGUCUGUAGUGAAAUCUCUGGGCUCAACUCAGAGUCUGCUGCAGAAACUGCCGUGCUUGAGUGUGGGAGAGGUGAGUGGAAUUCCCGGUGUAGCGGUGAAAUGCGUAGAUAUCUGGAGGAACACCGGUGGCGAAGGCGGCAUCCUGGACCAACACUGACGCUGAGGAGCGAAAGCCAGGGGAGCAAACGGG
rnacentral:rRNA from 1 species